GGGCGAAUAGCUCAGUGGUUUAGAGCGCCUGCCUUACACGCAGGAAGUCGGGGGUUCGAAUCCCUCUUCGCCCA
rnacentral:tRNA from 2 species